rnacentral:rRNA from 2 species
ACGAGGACCUACCGGAGGGCAAGACUAAUGCCAGCCGCUGCGGUAAUUUUAGCUCCGGUGGCGUAUACUAAAAUUGUUGCAGUUAAAAAGCUCGUAGUCGUAUCCCUGCUGCGGCCGCGGGGCGACGCACUCGCGUGCUCUCCUCUGCGCGUCCCGGCACUCUGCCGUCUUUCCCGGGGCGAUUGUCAAAGGUUGUCCGGGGAGAGAAGGCGGUAGUCGCUGUGCAAAAAUUAAGGUGCUCAAGGCAGUCGAAGCGGACUGAAUAGGAAUGCACGGAACGGCGGAACUCGACCUCGAGGACGGGGGUUCUCGGACGUCCGAGAGGUGAUGAUCGAUAGGAGCAGACGGGGGCAUUCGUAUUCCGGCGCUAGAGGUGAAAUUCUUGGACCGCCGGAAGACGAGCUACUGCGAAAGCAUUUGCCAAGAAUGUUUCCUUUGACCAAGAACGAAAGUAAGAGGCUCAAAGAAGAUUAGAUACCUUUGUAGUUCUGACCGUAAACGAUACCGGCCAGCGAUCCGGUUGCGUACUC